rnacentral:rRNA from 1 species
ACUCUAAGCGGUGGAUCACUCGGCUCAUGGGUCGAUGAAGAACGCAGCAAACUGUGCGUCAUCGUGUGAACUGCAGGACACAUGAACAUCGACAUUUUGAACGCAUAUCGCAGUCCAUGCUGUUAUGUACUUUAAUUAAUUUUAUAGUGCUGCUUGGACUACAUAUGGUUGAGGGUUGUAAGACUAUGCUAAUUAAGUUGCUUAUAAAUUUUUAUAAGCAUAUGGUAUAUUAUUGGAUAAAUAUAAUAAUUUUUAUUCAUAAUAUUAAAAAAUAAAUGAAAAACAUUAUCUCACAUUUGAAUGUGAAAAACGAAGAGAAAUAUUUUCUUUUUCAAUCAAAUAAUACUGAGAAAUGUCUAGCAUAAAAAAUUGAAAUAUUUUUCAUCUAGAAUUGUCUCUUAUUAAUGAUUCGGAAAUAGAAAAAUCUUGGUUAUGUUAUUAUUCUUCGUUGGUUCGUUAAAAAUGGAUAAAUAAAAACUUUGCAUACAAGAAUUAAUAAAAAUGUUAUAACGAAUUUAAUUAAAUGUUUUAUCAUUAUAUAUAAAGAAUUUAUGGCAAGAUAAAGUUAUAUACAACCUCAACUCAUAUGGGACUACCCCCUGAAUUUAAGCAUAUUAAUUAGGGGAGGAAAAGAAACUAACAAGGAUUUUCUUAGUAGCGGCGAGCGAAAAGAAAACAGUUCAGCACUAAGUCACUUUGUCUAUAUGGCAAAUGUGAGAUGCAGUGUAUGGAGCGUCAAUAUUCUAGUAUGAGAAAUUAACGAUUUAAGUCCUUCUUAAAUGAGGCCAUUUACCCAUAGAGGGUGCCAGGCCCGUAUAACGUUAAUGAUUACUAGAUGAUGUUUCCAAAGAGUCGUGUUGCUUGAUAGUGCAGCACUAAGUGGGUGGUAAACUCCAUCUAAAACUAAAUAUAACCAUGAGACCGAUAGUAAACAAGUACCGUGAGGGAAAGUUGAAAAGAACUCUGAAUAGAGAGUUAAACAGUACGUGAAACUGCUUAGAGGUUAAGCCCGAUGAACCUGAAUAUCCGUUAUGGAAAAUUCAUCAUUAAAAUUGUAAUAUUUAAAUAAUAUUAUGAGAAUAGUGUGCAUUUUUUCCAUAUAAGGACAUUGUAAUCUAUUAGCAUAUACCAAAUUUAUCAUAAAAUAUAACUUAUAGUUUAUUCCAAUUAAAUUGCUUGCAUUUUAACACAGAAUAAAUGUUAUUAAUUUGAUAAAGUGCUGAUAGAUUUAUAUGAUUACAGUGCGUUAAUUUUUCGGAAUUAUAUAAUGGCAUAAUUAUCAUUGAUUUUUGUGUUUAUUAUAUGCACUUGUAUGAUUAACAAUGCGAAAGAUUCAGGAUACCUUCGGGACCCGUCUUGAAACACGGACCAAGGAGUCUAACAUAUGUGCAAGUUAUUGGGAUAUAAACCUAAUAGCGUAAUUAACUUGACUAAUAAUGGGAUUAGUUUUUUAGCUAUUUAUAGCUAAUUAACACAAUCCCGGGGCGUUCUAUAUAGUUAUGUAUAAUGUAUAUUUAUAUUAUUUAUGCCUCUAACUGGAACGUACCUUGAGCAUAUAUGCUGUGACCCGAAAGAUGGUGAACUAUACUUGAUCAGGUUGAAGUCAGGGGAAACCCUGAUGGAAGACCGAAACAGUUCUGACGUGCAAAUCGAUUGUCAGAAUUGAGUAUAGGGGCGAAAGACCAAUCGAACCAUCUAGUAGCUGGUUCCUUCCGAAGUUUCCCUCAGGAUAGCUGGUGCAUUUUAAUAUUAUAUAAAAUAAUCUUAUCUGGUAAAGCGAAUGAUUAGAGGCCUUAGGGUCGAAACGAUCUUAACCUAUUCUCAAACUUUAAAUGGGUAAGAACCUUAACUUUCUUGAUAUGAAGUUCAAGGUUAUGAUAUAAUGUGCCCAGUGGGCCACUUUUGGUAAGCAGAACUGGCGCUGUGGGAUGAACCAAACGUAAUGUUACGGUGCCCAAAUUAACAACUCAUGCAGAUACCAUGAAAGGCGUUGGUUGCUUAAAACAGCAGGACGGUGAUCAUGGAAGUCGAAAUCCGCUAAGGAGUGUGUAACAACUCACCUGCCGAAGCAACUAGCCCUUAAAAUGGAUGGCGCUUAAGUUGUAUACCUAUACAUUACCGCUAAAGUAGAUGAUUUAUAUUACUUGUGAUAUAAAUUUUGAAACUUUAGUGAGUAGGAAGGUACAAUGGUAUGCGUAGAAGUGUUUGGCGUAAGCCUGCAUGGAGCUGCCAUUGGUACAGAUCUUGGUGGUAGUAGCAAAUAAUCGAAUGAGACCUUGGAGGACUGAAGUGGAGAAGGGUUUCGUGUGAACAGUGGUUGAUCACGAGUUAGUCGGUCCUAAGUUCAAGGCGAAAGCCGAAAAUUUUCAAGUAAAACAAAAAUGCCUAACUAUAUAAACAAAGCGAAUUAUAAUACACUUGAAUAAUUUUGAACGAAAGGGAAUACGGUUCCAAUUCCGUAACCUGUUGAGUAUCCGUUUGUUAUUAAAUAUGGGCCUCGUGCUCAUCCUGGCAACAGGAACGACCAUAAAGAAGCCGUCGAGAGAUAUCGGAAGAGUUUUCUUUUCUGUUUUAUAGCCGUACUACCAUGGAAGUCUUUCGCAGAGAGAUAUGGUAGAUGGGCUAGAAGAGCAUGACAUAUACUGUUGUGUCGAUAUUUUCUCCUCGGACCUUGAAAAUUUAUGGUGGGGACACGCAAACUUCUCAACAGGCCGUACCAAUAUCCGCAGCUGGUCUCCAAGGUGAAGAGUCUCUAGUCGAUAGAAUAAUGUAGGUAAGGGAAGUCGGCAAAUUAGAUCCGUAACUUCGGGAUAAGGAUUGGCUCUGAAGAUUGAGAUAGUCGGGCUUGAUUGGGAAACAAUAACAUGGUUUAUGUGCUCGUUCUGGGUAAAUAGAGUUUCUAGCAUUUAUGUUAGUUACUUGUUCCCCGGAUAGUUUAGUUACGUAGCCAAUUGUGGAACUUUCUUGCUAAAAUUUUUAAGAAUACUAUUUGGGUUAAACCAAUUAGUUCUUAUUAAUUAUAACGAUUAUCAAUUAACAAUCAAUUCAGAACUGGCACGGACUUGGGGAAUCCGACUGUCUAAUUAAAACAAAGCAUUGUGAUGGCCCUAGCGGGUGUUGACACAAUGUGAUUUCUGCCCAGUGCUCUGAAUGUCAAAGUGAAGAAAUUCAAGUAAGCGCGGGUCAACGGCGGGAGUAACUAUGACUCUCUUAAGGUAGCCAAAUGCCUCGUCAUCUAAUUAGUGACGCGCAUGAAUGGAUUAACGAGAUUCCUACUGUCCCUAUCUACUAUCUAGCGAAACCACAGCCAAGGGAACGGGCUUGGAAUAAUUAGCGGGGAAAGAAGACCCUUUUGAGCUUGACUCUAAUCUGGCAGUGUAAGGAGACAUAAGAGGUGUAGAAUAAGUGGGAGAUAUUAGACCUCGGUUUGGUAUCGUCAAUGAAAUACCACUACUCUUAUUGUUUCCUUACUUACUUGAUUAAAUGGAACGUGUAUCAUUUCCUAGCCAUUAUACGGAUAUAUUUAUUAUAUCUUAUGGUAUUGGGUUUUGAUGCAAGCUUCUUGAUCAAAGUAUCACGAGUUUGUUAUAUAAUCGCAAACAAAUUCUUUAAUAAAACGAUGCAUUUAUGUAUUUUUGAUUUGAAAAUUUGGUAUAACUCCAAUUACUCAGGUAUGAUCCAAUUCAAGGACAUUGCCAGGUAGGGAGUUUGACUGGGGCGGUACAUCUCUCAAAUAAUAACGGAGGUGUCCCAAGGCCAGCUCAGUGCGGACAGAAACCACACAUAGAGCAAAAGGGCAAAUGCUGACUUGAUCUCGGUGUUCAGUACACACAGGGACAGCAAAAGCUCGGCCUAUCGAUCCUUUUGGUUUAAAGAGUUUUUAACAAGAGGUGUCAGAAAAGUUACCAUAGGGAUAACUGGCUUGUGGCGGCCAAGCGUUCAUAG